AGGCUGGGGAGCCGCGGAAGUUUCCAGCAGAUUCAGCAUCUAACAGUGGCUGGCUUGACUGACGGCUGUGAGAUCGGAAGCCUCUAGUCGAUACUUUCUCCAGUGGGAGGGCAGGACAGUUAACUCUGCCCCUCUUGUACUCACGCCUCAACAGAGAUUCUGAAUUCACACGGCUUAAGGUUUGCAAGUGUGAAACUAGCAAAACGGAUUCGUUUCCAGAAGCGUUUUAGAAAUCAAGGGAUAUCUGUCUCCUGAGAACUCCAAG